rnacentral:rRNA from 1 species
GACGAACGCUGGCGGCGUGCCUAAUACAUGCAAGUCGAGCGCAGGAAAUCGACGGAACCCUUCGGGGGGAAGUCGACGGAAUGAGCGGCGGACGGGUGAGUAACACGUAAAGAACCUGCCCUCAGGUCUGGGAUAACCACGAGAAAUCGGGGCUAAUACCGGAUGGGUCAUCGGACCGCAUGGUCCGAGGAUGAAAGGCGCUUCGGCGUCGCCUGGGGAUGGCUUUGCGGUGCAUUAGCUAGUGGGUGGGGUAAUGGCCCACCAAGGCGACGAUGCAUAGCCGACCUGAGAGGGUGAUCGGCCACACUGGGACUGAGACACGGCCCAGACUCCUACGGGAGGCAGCAGUAGGGAAUCUUCCACAAUGGACGAAAGUCUGAUGGAGCAACGCCGCGUGAACGAUGAAGGCCUUCGGGUCGUAAAGUUCUGUUGUAAGGGAAGAACAAGUGCCGCAGGCAAUGGCGGCACCUUGACGGUACCUUGCGAGAAAGCCACGGCUAACUACGUGCCAGCAGCCGCAGUAA